rnacentral:rRNA from 1 species
GGGGCAGCACGAUGUAGCAAUACAUUGGUGGCGACCGGCGCACGGGUGAGUAACGCGUAUGCAACCUACCUAUCAGAGGGGAAUAACCCGGCGAAAGUCGGACUAAUACCGCAUAAAACAGGGGUUCCACAUGGAAAUAUUUGUUAAAGAAUUAUCGCUGAUAGAUGGGCAUGCGUUCCAUUAGAUAGUUGGUGAGGUAACGGCUCACCAAGUCCACGAUGGAUAGGGGUUCUGAGAGGAAGGUCCCCCACACUGGUACUGAGACACGGACCAGACUCCUACGGGAGGCAGCAGUGAGGAAUAUUGGUCAAUGGGCGAGAGCCUGAACCAGCCAAGUCGCGUGAAGGAUGAAGGAUCUAUGGUUUGUAAACUUCUUUUAUAUGGGAAUAAAGUGAGGAACGUGUUCCUUUUUGUAUGUACCAUAUGAAUAAGCAUCGGCUAACUCCGUGCCAGCAGCCGCGGUAAUACGGAGGAUGCGAGCGUUAUCCGGAUUUAUUGGGUUUAAAGGGUGCGUAGGUGGUUAAUUAAGUCAGCGGUGAAAGUUUGUGGCUCAACCAUAAAAUUGCCGUUGAAACUGGUUGACUUGAGUAUAUUUGAGGUAGGCGGAAUGCGUGGUGUAGCGGUGAAAUGCAUAGAUAUCACGCAGAACUCCGAUUGCGAAGGCAGCUUACUAAACUAUAACUGACACUGAAGCACGAAAGCGUGGGGAUCAAACAGGAUUAGAUACCCUGGUAGUCCACGCAGUAAACGAUGAUUACUAGCUGUUUGCGAUACACAGUAAGCGGCACAGCGAAAGCGUUAAGUAAUCCACCUGGGGAGUACGCCGGCAACGGUGAAACU